UGGGGAAUAUUGCGCAAUGGGCGAAAGCCUGACGCAGCGACGCCGCGUGCGGGAUGAAGGCCUUCGGGUUGUAAACCGCUUUCAGCAGGGACGAGGCCGCAAGGUGACGGUACCUGCAGAAGAAGCCCCGGCUAACUACGUGCCAGCAGCCGCGGUAAUACGUAGGGGGCGAGCGUUAUCCGGAUUCAUUGGGCGUAAAGCGCGCGUAGGCGGCUUGUUAGGUCGGAGGUUAAAGACCGAGGCUCAACCUCGGCACGCCUCCGAUACCGGCAGGCUUGAGUGUGGUAGAGGAAGGUGGAAUUCCCAGUGUAGCGGUGGAAUGCGCAGAUAUUGGGAAGAACACCAGCGGCGAAGGCGGCCUUCUGGGCCAUUACUGACGCUGAGGCGCGAAAGCUAGGGGAGCAAACAGG
rnacentral:rRNA from 1 species